UAAAGUGGUACGCGAGCUGGGUUUAGAACGUCGUGAGACAGUUUGGUCCCUAUCUACCGUGGGUGUUGGAAUAUUGAGAAGAGUUGCCCCUAGUACGAGAGGACCGGGGUGAACAUACCUCUGGUGUACCUGUUGUCGCGCCAGCGGCAUUGCAGGGUAGCUACGUAUGGACGGGAUAACCGCUGAAAGCAUCUAAGUGGGAAGCCUCCUUCAAAACUAGUAUUCCCUAUCAGGACCGUGGAAGACCACCACGUUGAUAGGCUGGGUGUGGAAGUACAGCAAUGUAUGAAGCUAACCAGUACUAAUUGUCCGAUCGUCUUACACUC
rnacentral:rRNA from 1 species